UCACUCUCAUCUGUGUGUGUAACGAAAGUCAACGGGAAGCACCUGCCUCACUCCCCCGAAACUCAUCACAGGCAACUUUUCUAAAAUACUUAAAUCAGUUGCCACCUCGAUGAUUUGGAAUGUUUCUCAAUAUAAAUCUCCUCGUUUCCAAAGAAACUUUCUUUUUCAGUCGCUCUCCGCAGAGGAGCCAGUGCUAAGACCAUCGGGGAAACCUAUUACCUGCCGCUAAUAGGGCUUGAGAAAGAAGCAGGCGCUGUUACUAAUAGCCUCAUCCUGGGCUCUGAGAUAAGAGCCCUUUCUAUGCCGAGCUUUGUUACAAGGGAAAUUUCUCAUCCUGGCGGCAGAUAAGAUGUCCCUUGUCGCUGAGAGCGCUCCCCGGUUCCACUGAACACGGGGUGAAUGGAGCCAUCUGAGGAGCUGUUUAUCACCCUCUUCCCGGCCCUCGCCUCUGCUUUCUCCUCAUCCCCAGGCCCCGAAACCACAACAGGGGGAGCUCGCCUUCAACCUCCCUCAACCCACCGUGCAGGCUGGCACGCUCAUCUUAGAGGUGUUGCACACGGGGCCACUAGGACGGGUUCACUCCCCGGGGUCUGAUGCCACGAGCUGGGCCCCCCUGUGAAAUGAGCCGGGCACCUGGACAACAGUGACUGCACAGCAAAGCCCUGAGCGACAACAGAAUACCACGCAGCAGGUGUGAUGAAGCAGCUGAAGCUGUGCGUACCCCCACUGGGCUCACUCCGAUCCAUGCUGACCUUAUGGCAGAGGUUGGUGGACACCAUGGGAUGGCCACGCCAGGCGGGCACCAGAGCUGAGCCCCCCAGAGGGUCGCUGUCAUCUACCUCAGCAGUGACUGGUUAGUGCAACUGUACCUUUAUUACGGGCCUUCCCAGAUUGCGCUGUGUUCACUUUUCACAUCCUCCUUCCAUCAUUGGGUUAAGACCCUCAGGGUUCGAGGCCACCAUAAUCAUUUCAUCCACAGGACCAGCCUUCUGAGAGCAUCUACUCUGGGCCAGAACCUGUGCUGAUCAAGAUGGGGAUUCAAAAUGAUAGCAUCCUUGACGCUUCCUCUACAGAAGCUCACAGCCAUCCACACACACCUGAGUUGCAGCAAAAUAAGGUGAAUGCCAGAGUGAUAAAACAAACAGUGCCCUCCAAGCAUAGAAUACAGGUUGGCUGAUUGAUAAGAAAGUCUGAAUUUUGGUGGAGGUGUCAAUCAUCAGUCCAAAAUAGCUACUGAUAACUUCUGCUGGCAUCCAACCUGGCAAGUAGUAGGUUCUCAAUAAAUGUGAAUUAAGUCUGAGUCUGACCUAGAUUCUUGGUUCAAUCCUCACCACGAUGACUUGAAUGAGGCUCCACACCACUUCUCAUUUCACUCUUCGGAUCUACUACACAGGCAAGUAGCAGGCAGUGUCCUUCACCAGCUGACAGGUGCUCACAAGUAUUUGCAAAAGAGAAGCAAGUUUAAACUCAGAAUUAU